CUUGUAGUUUUCCAGGGAUUCUCAAUAGGAUGAGAAUUAAAAUCUACUCCAGUUGAUUAGACUAUAUAGGGUAAAGUAAGGUACUAUGCAGGUGAGGAGAUUAUAAGGCAUCGUAUCUUGAUUCUUUAUGUGUUCUAAGUAACAACGCUAAUAGGAAGGUGACAUGGUCCUUUUCUUCUUAAGGUUGUCUAGCUAUUAAAGAAGGCCAAUAAGGUUUUUAGUGUUUGUCAAGACAAUCGAUGUCUUUAGGAGUUUAAUGAAUUUUUCUUUCCUGGUUUCUUUCAUGAGUAGGAUUGCAAACUUCUUCAGCAUUGUUCUGUCUAAUUUUUUCCUCUUUGAUGUUCUCCAUUUGGAACAUUAUCAGUAUCAUUCUAGCAGUAAACAAAGGGAAGCAUUUUUGUGGUCUAUAUCAAUCUCAUAUUUGAAUCACCAUAGGAGGGGGCUAAGCGGCGGCUUGACUUGGAGAUCAAAAAUCUUAUCCAUGGAUGUCAGCUGAGGUUUUCAGGGCAUGCCCCUGCAAUGCCAAAGAGAAGUGGAGAUGAAUAUCCUUCUCUAACCAGCUAUGAUGAUCCUUCAGCUGCACGUAAGAAGCAACGCCGAUUUUCUCAACAUGAGCAUGGAACUGCCUCUAUGUUCGUCCUCCAGUACACAACAGAGAGGAUCCCCCAUGUCCUUCAAGUUUACAAAGGCUUUCUCAGCUACUAACUGUCAGUACUAUGUCUGAAAGUUCUGCAUGCAAUCUCGUCUACAGAAGAAGGAAGCUGCAAGGAAACCCUGUAAUCACAGAGAACUGGAGAAGCUGCCUUUCAGUCACCAGCCUUCUAUACGCUACAUGCUGUGUUAUUUUGUCCAUUGCUGUUUUUAUCAUGUUCUUAAACAAGUUUUCUUGAGCCUUGCUGGCAAAAUUGCAAGAUUUAAAAGGCUAGGAAGAGGGAGCAAUGACAUUGGUCUAGAAUUUCUGUUUUAUGUUUUAUAAAAAUAUUAUAUUGUAUUGUGCUUUAGCUAUAGACUUUCGUGUUGAAACGAA